AGGGUUAGUCGGGUCCUAAGCAAAGUCCGAAAGGGGUAUGCGAUGGAAAAUUGGUUAAUAUUCCAAUGCCAACUAUAAUGUGCGAUGGAAGGACGCUUAGAGUUAAGCAAGCUAGCGGAUGGUAGUGCUAGUCGAAAGGUGUAGGUUAAGAUCCAGGCAAAUCCGGAUCUUUUUAAGCCGAGACCCCACAGGCGUUUGAAGUUCUUCGGAAUGGAUAGCGAAUUGCCGAUACUGUCGAGCCAAGAAAAGUUUCUAAGUUUAGUUAUAGUUGCCCGUACCGUAAACCGACACAGGUGGGUGGGAUGAGUAUUCUAAGGCGCGUGGAAGAACUCUCUUCAAGGAACUCUGCAAAAUAGCACCGUAUCUUCGGUAUAAGGUGUGCCUAGCUUCGUUAAGAAUUUACUUCGUAAGCGAAGAAGGUUACAACAAAGAGUCCCUCCCGACUGUUUACCAUAAACACAGCACUCUGCUAACUCGUAAGAGGAUGUAUAGGGUGUGACGCCUGCCCGGUGCUCGAAGGUUAAUUGAUGACGUUAGCUUACGCGAAGCGUCUGAUCGAAGCCCGAGUAAACGGCGGCCGUAACUAUAACGGUCCUAAGGUAGCGAAAUUCCUUGUCGAUUAAAUAUCGACCUGCAUGAAUGGCGUAACGAGAUGGGAGCUGUCUCGAAGAGGGAUCCAGUGAAAUUGUAGUGGAGGUGAAAAUUCCUCCUACCCGCGGCAAGACGGAAAGACCCCGUGAACCUUUACUAUAGCUUGACACUGCUACUUGGAUAAAGAUGCGCAGGAUAGGUGGGAGGCUUUGAGUCGUAGAUCUCGGUUUACGAUGAGCCAUUGUUGAGAUACCACUCUUCUUUAUUCGGGUAGCUAACUAGCCUAAGUUAUCCUUAGGUAGGACAAUGUCUGGUGGGUAGUUUGACUGGGGCGGUCGCCUCCCAAAAUGUAACGGAGGCUUACAAAGGUUGGCUCAAAGCGGUUGGAAAUCGCUUGCAGAGUAUAAAGGCAAAAGCCAGCUUAACUGCGAGACAUACACGUCAAGCAGGGACGAAAGUCGGUCUUAGUGAUCCGGUGGUUCUGUGUGGAAGGGCCAUCGCUCAACGGAUAAAAGGUACCCCGGGGAUAACAGGCUGAUCU
rnacentral:rRNA from 1 species